rnacentral:rRNA from 1 species
AGGGAUUGCCUCAGUAACGGCGAGUGAAGCGGCAACAGCUCAAAUUUGAAAUCUGGCCCUAGGCCCGAGUUGUAAUUUGCAGAGGAUGCUUUUGGUGCGGUGCCUUCCAAGUUCCCUAGAACGGGACGCCAGAGAGGGUGAGAGCCCCGUACAGUUGGACACCAAGCCUUUGUAAAGCUCCUUCGACGAGUCGAGUAGUUUGGGAAUGCUGCUCAAAAUGGGAGGUAUAUUUCUUCUAAAGCUAAAUACCGGCCAGAGACCGAUAGCGCACAAGUAGAGUGAUCGAAAGAUGAAAAGCACUUUGAAAAGAGGGUUAAACAGCACGUGAAAUUGUUAAAAGGGAAGCGCUUGUGACCAGACUUGCGUCCGGUGAAUCACCCAGCUCUCGCGGCUGGGGCACUUCGCCGGCUCAGGCCAGCAUCAGCUCGCUGUCGGGGACAAAAGCUUCAGGAACGUAGCUCUCUUCGGGGAGUGUUAUAGCCUGUUGCACAAUACCCUUCGGCGGGCUGAGGUACGCGCUCCGCAAGGAUGCUGGCAUAAUGGUCAUCAGCGACCCGUCUUGAAACACGGACCAAGGAGUCAACCUUAUGUGCGAGUGUUCGGGUGUCAAACCCCUACGCGUAAUGAAAGUGAACGCAGGUGAGAGCUUCGGCGCAUCAUCGACCGAUCCUGAUGUUCUCGGAUGGAUUUGAGUAAGAGCAUAUAGGGUUGGACCCGAAAGAAGGUGAACUAUGCGUGUAUAGGGUGAAGCCAGAGGAAACUCUGGUGGAGGCUCGCAGCGGUUCUGACGUGCAAAUCGAUCGUCAAAUAUGCGCAUGGGGGCGAAAGACUAAUCG